GAUGAACGCUGGCGGCGUGCUUAACACAUGCAAGUCGAACGAAGCACUUUAUUUGAUUUCCUUCUGGACUGAUUAUUUUGUGACUGAGUGGCGGACGGGUGAGUAACGCGUGGGUAACCUGCCUUGUACAGGGGGAUAACAGUUGGACACGUCUGCUAAUACCGCAUAAGCGCACAGCAUCGCAUGAUGCAGUGUGAACAACUCCGGUGGUAUAAGAUGGACCCGCGUUGGAUUAGCUAGUUGGUGAGGUAACGGCCCACCAAGGGGACAAUCCAUAGCCGAGCAGUGAGGGAGGGCCGACACACUGGGGGGAGGCAACAGUACAAACUCCUACGGGAGGGAGGAAAGGGGGAUGGUGCAACAUCGGGGGAAUGAUGAAGGACUUAGGACCGGAGAACGAAGAAAUUAUUCAGUAUGUAAAGCUCUAGCAGCAGGGAAGAUAAUGACGGUACCUGACUAGAAAGCACCGGCUAAAUACGUG
rnacentral:rRNA from 1 species